CCAAUCAACUCAACUAAAACUCAACGACACAUACAUUAAGCCAGCUAAACAAAUAUAAACUACACGGCCAAAUAUUUAACAAUUUACAAACUUACUUUCACAGAUGCUUACGAAGAAGACGAAGACGACAACUAAGAUCAGUGAAAUUACCUAAACAAAAAAGCAGAGUAAGUUACAAACUCUGAUAAAUACAACUAACAAUGAUUUUUGUUUACAUAUUACCCAUUAAAUAAAAGAGAAACAAACACAGCCACACACCAGGAGAUACAAGAGACAAUCUCAACAGACACAAAGGCGGUAACAACAUCUCCACCUGCUCACUCCUCUUGUCUUAUAAAA
rnacentral:lncRNA from 1 species